CUGGGUGGAUGAGUGGCGAACGGGUGAGUAACACGUGAGUAACCUGCCCCUUCUUUGGGAUAACGCCCGGAAACGGGUGCUAAUACUGGGUAUUCACUGGCCUUCGCAUGGGGGUUGGUGGAAAGGUUUGUUCUGGUGGGGGAUGGGCUCGCGGCCUAUCAGCUUGUUGGUGGGGUGAUGGCCUACCAAGGCUUUGACGGGUAGCCGGCCUGAGAGGGUGACCGGUCACAUUGGGACUGAGAUACGGCCCAG
rnacentral:rRNA from 1 species